CAAUAGCGUAUAUUUAAGUUGUUGCAGUUAAAAAGCUCGUAGUUGGAUUUCGGGUUGGCUUCAGCGGUCUCGCUUUGCGUUUGUACUGCUGCAGCCUACCUUCUUGUCGGGGACGGGCCUUCGGGCUUAAUUACUUGGGGCCCGGAGUCGACGAUGUUACUUUGAGUAAAUUAGAGUGUUCAAAGCAAGCCUACGCUCUGAAUAUAAUAGCAUGGGAUAACACGACAGGACUCUGGCCUAUCGUGUUGGUCUGUAGGACCAGAGUAAUGAUUAAGAGGGACAGUCGGGGGCAUUCGUAUUCCGUUGUCAGAGGUGAAAUUCUUGGAUUUACGGAAGACGAACAUCUGCGAAAGCAUUUGCCAAGGAUGUUUUCAUUGA
rnacentral:rRNA from 1 species